rnacentral:tRNA from 1 species
CAGAAUAUAACUUAAUCUAAAGUAUCUCGCUUACACCGAAACUAUAUUUGUGUGAAUCAAAUUAUUCUGA